CUAUUUUUUGAAAAAAUUCCUUGCUAGCAUCUGCAAUAUAGCAGUAAAAAGCAAUGAGCAGUUAACUGCUAAGCAAAGGAAUGACGAAGCCAAUAAGUUUACUAUUAGUAGCUCAUGAAAUCAAAUAGUUAUACGGAAAAAAUUAUAUUUUUUUGCAAAUCGCUGUAAACUACAAAGGAAUGUGAAAUUUUCAGUAUAAUAGUCCGUAUGAGCCACCAGGAUAUUAGACUUGUAAGAAUUUACUGGUUUAACAUGUCAACUCUUACUUAUUCAAAGAAAUUAGAAAUAAUUCUAGGAAAACUUCUUCUCAUAAUGACUUUUACUUCAACAUUACUAAACAUCAUCAUAAUUUGAUGCUGUAAAGACAUUACCUUUCAUUUUCUUUUCACUUUCAAUCGUAUUCCACCUUUAUGUUUAUGUUUAAAAUAUUCAUCUAGGAUCCCAUUUGUUUUAAGUCACGACAUCUUUUGGCUUCCUCACGUUUUGAUUUUUUUUUUGCAUUUUUAUAGUUAAAAGGAUAACAUCAAUCUGUUCAAUAAAUACUCUGGAGCAUUCCUACCUCCCUCAUAAUUCAAAAACUAUAUUGUUUCGCUUACUUAAAACCAAAACAAGCUCUAACCGAAUAUUUCACUGCCUUUCUAGGGAAGGGGUUAAAUGUUUAAUCUCUUUUGUCCCCCUUAUUGUUCUCCAUAUUCAUGUGGACAAGCAUAUGUAAUUUAAACAAAGCAACUUCAAUCAUAUAUUUCAAGAAAACCUUUUUCAGAGUCAGAAUUCUUCAAGAUCCAAAACAGCCUAAUAAAGAUCUAUCCUAUUGUUUCUCCUCAUUCCUUGAGUAAAUACAAAAAGCUAACUAUUGCAAGAGAGUUCAACAUUUCUUUUUUCCCCUUCUUCACAAACAAACUAGUUUCUACUUUGAUAUACAUGCAUAUGUAGCAUUAUAUCAUAACACAACUAAAUACAAUAGAGCCAGUUUCGAGAGAAAAGACUAUACUGCUACUAAAGCAAAACAUAGCAUGCCUCAUAUUUAAAGAUAGAAAUAAUCAAACGUAUUUUUGUACCAUCUUGACCUUAUACAUUUGGCCUUCCCAAAAAAUGUUGCGAUCAAUGUUAACUCCCAUAUUAAUAGCCUUUUUGUCCAAGACAAACCCCCGCAAAUACUCAAAUAUAAUUAUAAUCGCAAUAACAAACUCCCCACAACCUGUUCGACACAAUUCCUCAUUAUCUUCUAACAAUUCCUCAUCAUCUUCUAAUGCUAAUUAUACCACUAUUUUGAAAUACUUGGAACUAAUUUCUUAUACCAACUUGACCUUAUACGUUUGUCCUUGCCAAAAAAUAUUGCGAUCAACGUUAAAUCUCAUAUUAACGGCCUUUUCCUCCAAGACCAACCCCCCUCAACUACUCAAACAUAAUUAUAACCGUAAUAACAAACUCCCCAAAACCUGUUCGACACAAUUCCUCAAUGAAAAAUAUGUUACUACAACAACAACAUAGCCCAACUUCAGCUUACAUUCGCCUCUCCAAAAAUCAAAUCAAUAUGUUAAUUAUAUAACGAGCUAAAAUUACCGCAAUGCAUCAAUAAGCUAAAAUUACCACAAUGAAUUUUGAUGAUGAAAUUCAUACCUGAAGAACGCUUACGACUAAAGGCGACUGCGAAUGUUUGAAUGUCGAUUCUGGAAUUUGGAAGAAAGAGAUUUAAUAACGAAUAUUUUAGAGGUUAAUUCUGGAAUUUGGAAGAAAUGGGUUAUUCUCAAAUACAAGCUGAAGUUGGAAAAAAGAGAUUUAACAGCUUGAAGAAGGGUAUUUUUUUCCAAGAAAAUAUGCCUUAACAAGUUAAGGCUAUUUUAACAAAGCCUUUUUAUUUGGGGCUAAAGUUUGAAAGGAGCCCUAAUUUGAGUCUAUAUUUGAGAAUAACCCAACAAGUAUGGGUUUAAAAUUGGAGACCAUAAACAUGGGUUGAAAAUUGAUUUUGGUUUUAAAGAUGGAUUAGGAGCAGGAUUGUUGAACAUUGUUUGAAACGUUUCUCCACAUGUAGCCAGACAAAGAUCUUUAUUAUCAUCAAAUUAGUUGUAAUUUUGAUCUCAAAAUGUCCUUAAUCUAAACCAUAGGCUCUAAUACCACUUGUUGGGUUCGAAAUCGAGAGGGCGUCAUGCGGAAGCUAUUAGUUGUAAACUAUGAGACGAUAAGUCAGACAACAAAGAAAACAAUACUAAAAACAUAAUAUUAUUAUAUGAUUUGGCCAAUUGGCCUACAUAUAAAAUCUAAGAUUAAAAAUACUAUUAAAAAGAAUAAAUCUAAUGAGAGAGAAAAUCACUUUCCCUAAAUGAAACUCUUAAAAGACUAUAUUAUGGUUGCUAUUGUGUUGUUUUAUCUUGAAAAGAGAGAUAUCCUGUUUAUAGAGUUACAAAACCCUUAUAAAAAGAAUAAACCUAAUAGAAAUCUAAUAGAAAAAACCUAAUAGAAAUCUAAUAGGAAAGAGAUCUUUUCCAACAAGGAAACUUCUUUCUAACAAAAAAAGGUAAUUCUAAUUCUGGUAGGAAAUCAAAUAAAGUAAGAAAUUCAGGGCAAAUCCUAAUAGAGCCAUCAAGGUCCGAGAGACCCCUUAGCACACUAUCAUAAGCAUAAUUCAUAUGAAAUAAAAGUGCGGAAGCUAAGCUGGAAAUAUAGUGGUCCCAUAAUCAUUAUUAAAACUUUUCUACAUCAACUUAUAAGAAGACCUAAAUCCCAUCUGAGACAAUCUACGAAGUCUCUACUGAAUUGAAUAUACUAGUCUAUCUACACCGGAACAAGGCCACCGACCGGACCAUAAAACUAAAAAAGGGAACAACACGUGGAAUAGAUGUCUUCUGAAGCAAGAGAGGCUCACUAACUCUGAAAGCCUGAAAAUAAUCUACUGAUUUACGGGACCACGGGACUGUGCCUCAGAACCUGAAUAUCGGAGGUCAAUACUUGAACGUAUUGGUAUGUAAAACAAUAAAAAAAUAACACAUACUUUAUGUAAAAUAAGUGAGAGCAUUAUGAAAACAAUUUAUCAUAAUAUAUAUAGAAACACAUGGGCAAAAUCAAUGAGUUUCAAAACAUUCCUGUAAGUCAUAACUCAACUCUUUGUUUUACUUUUGAGCUAGAUGGUACACCCUACAAUUCUAAAAUCCCACGAGUUAUAUGAAAUCCUUCUUUGACUCGGUGGCCAAGCCCCCAACCUAAGUUUUUCACAAGGGCUGUGUAACGCCCGGAGUUCGGUACCCCGGGCGCUACACGGUGCUUAUAAUUCUGAAGAACCACUAGCUAAUCCAUGACUGAUAUCUGUAACUGAGAACUGGAGAAUAGUAAUAUUGUAAUUACAACAUAACUGAAAUAAUUACAGAAAUUUGGCGGAAAACUUAUCAUAAGGUUUAAAUACUAAACAAUACUAAAUAAAACAAUGUUUGAACAAGGUGUGAUAAUAACAAGACUGAAAUAACUUUCUGAUCAUGUUAUAGUUUGAAAGCCUUUAAACUGUCUGAAGUGCAAAGUUAAUGGGACAUGUCCCCAACUAACUCCAUCUACUGAAAAUAACUAAGUACUAAAAUACUGAAAGAAUGAAAUAAUCAUGUCCUAGAAAGUAUGAGGACUCACCACUGACUCUAACUGCUGAUAUUUGAGCUGCUAAGCACGAGGGGGAACCUGAGCGACCGAACCUAUAGUAUAAAACACCAUAGCACAAGAGAAAAGUAUGCGUUAGUACGUAAAAAUGUACUGGUACGCAAAGUGAGGUAAGGCUGAAUGCAAGGGUUCAUAUGCAUGAACUAAACUAACUGAAUAACAUGAACAUGACUACGUAAGGAUACAUGUAUGAAUACAUAACUGUAACUAAAAUCACAAGGAUUCUGAAUACUGAGUUUACUGAUUACAUAGAUUACUGAUAACUGAUAUAACCGAUAACUAAGUGACUGUGUCAGACAGUCCUGAUUCUAAUGGAACUAGCUGAGUUCCGUACUAAGCUAAGUGACUAUAUCUGAUAGUCUUGAAAUCUGUAGAACUAUUUGAGUUCUUUACUGAAGACUGAGACUGAGACCAUGAGAGGUAGUCAUCUAAUCGACAUGCCCCAAAUAAGAUAAUAUAGCUAAGUUGGGGUCCAAUCUAUUACCCCAAUUAGAAGGGUAUCAAUACCAUGCCACUGGUAAGGACAAGCAGUGAGUGACCUUCAUCUAUCAGGUAAUCUAAUGAGAAUGGUGGGACCCUCAUUGAUAGGUUAAGCCACCUCAUCAACCCCUAUCUGACAGGUUUUGAUGUCUCAACCUACGCUGCUUACGUAGUUCUGGAACGCAAGGACUGCUUCUAAGAAUCACACCCUCUGCUGGCAGGGGAGUUCCCAUCCUUGGGUUUACUCGGUGCUGAAUCCUACUCCCAUUUGAAUAGAUACUGAACUGAGUAUACUGGAUUGAACUGGACUGAGUUCACUGAGUUCCGUCGAUUGAUGAAAUAUUACUAAAUUCUGGUAACUGACUGAGUUACUGAGGACUGAACUGAAUACUACUGAGUUUUUCCUAAGUUUUGAGAUUGACUGACUUCUACUGAUCUUGACUUGAUUGAUAUUAUCUUGAAAACUGAUAAUGGCUCUAGGCACACAGCUAAAUUAUCGGGUAUUGAAUACCCCCAGGACUCGAUAGCAUGAAAAUAAAUAAGACAUAACACUACUUGAACACAUGACCAUAGUCAACAAUUCAUAAUACUAUCAUUGAGGGAUUUCAUGAAGCAUUCACAAGUCAUAAGCUUACACAUGAAUCGGAAUACAUGCUAACUUAAUAUAAUUUCACAAGUCCAUACUUAUGAGCAUUCCACCAAAUCAUUACAAGACAUAACUAUAGCAUGAGAGUCAAUUUGAACAUGUGGGUACAUCAUAAGUUCAUCAUAUAGCUCACAAAUAGGUCAUAAUGCACAAUUCUUAUUCACUUAGGCAUUUUAACAAACACAUCGAAGGUAUAACCUUUUCUAGGGCAUGAAUCAACAACAAAUACAUCAUGGCCACAUCAAGCACUUUCAAUUUAAGGAUUUCAAUCCACAUACUAACAUGAAGUCAUGGGAAUUAAAUAAAGAUUCAAUCAUAGAAAUCAUAUCCCAACAUAAAUAUGUGUACAAUCAAACCCACAACAUGGAAUUUAAAAUUCAUAUUUUGAAAAGAUUUUCUUGAGCUCCAAGGGUGAAAGGGACCCUUGGAUGAACACUUUACAUAUCUUAGUGGAUAAUUUCUUGAAGAUUGAUGGAAGAAAGCUUGAGUUCUUGAAUUGAAAUUAAUCAGCUAGGAUUUCUUGUUCUUGAGCACUUGUGAAAUAAUGAAUGUAUUUAGCCAAAAAAGGGCUAAAUUUUGUGUUAUGAGGGCUGAAGGUUGGGGGAAAAUAACCUAAUUACCCUUAAGGAUGCGGUCAUUUAAUGACUGAAACUGGGCACUAACGCAUUUGGCGACGCGGCAUAUCAAUGGCUUCGACGUGGUACUUGACGCGUCGCACCAUGAUCACGCCAUGUCUCAGUACUUUUGACUAGAAACCUGGAACAAUAUUAACAAAUACGAUGGGCAACGCGGCGCGCCAAGAUUGCAUUGGUCCACUGUUAUGGGACUCUAAACGUGGUUUAAAUAAGGUCUAAAAAAUUUGAAACUUGUUCGGGAACACUUAUUGACCUUCCUGAUCACGAAUUAACAAAAAUAUAGAUCAUUAAAGGACAUUAAGGUUGCGAAAUGAGAUUGACAACUUUCGAAGGUUAAAAAUAAACUAUGUCUGGAAACUUAGCUAGAAUUUUUUAAGUUUGGGACCCUUGACAAGCUUAAAGGACUAAAUUAAGCUAAAAAUUUUGUGGGUAUUACAAUAUCUCCCCCUUGGGAACAUUCAUCCUCGGAUGAGACUGACUGAGAUGGGAGAAAUGAUAAGCUAAAUUACAUACUGAACAUGAACAACUGGAACAUGAUUACAUGAUUGACAUUACUGAUUUACUAAGAUUCAUACUGAGCAUGCAUAUCCGAUGCAUGUUUUCAUGACUGAGCUGAUACAUGAAAGUAUAAUUGGGAGUACUAAUAAGCUGAUCAUGCAUAUAUGAUGCAUGAAUACAUAACUGAACUGACUCAUGAAGAUGCUACUGAACAUACAAUGGUAAAGGAUACCAAGUUUGAAAUGAAAAAUGGAGCAUGAAACUGAAGAAGCUUAAAGAAAGCUAUUACCUUAGGAUGAGUCUGAAUUAGCGUAGAAGAGGUAAGGAUACUUGGUCCGCAUGUCUGCUUUUGCUUCCCAAGUAGCUCCCUAAAUGGACUGAUUCCGCCAAAGAACUUUGACUAGAGGGACUUCUUUGUUCCUCAGUCUGCAGGCCUGAUAGUCAAGGAUUUCGACUGGAAUUUCUUCGUAAGAGAGACUGUUCUGAAUACCUAUGCUCUCAAUAGGGACUACAAUUGCCGGGUCACCUGUGCACUUCUUAAACAAGGAGACAUGAAACAAUGGAUGCAUUGAAGCUAGAUCUGAAGGCAACUCAAGCUCAUAAGCUACUUUGCCGAAGCGACUGAGAAUUUUGAAGGGAUAGACAUAUCAGAGACUGAGCUUUUUCUUCCUGCCGAACCUCUUCACUCUCUUCACGGGACAGAUUUUUAGGUACACAUAAUCACCAGUCUCGAAUUUGAGAUUUUUUCUGUGUAUAUCUGCAUACGAUUUCUGUCGGCUCUAAGCUGUCUUGAGCCUCUUUUUGAUUAACUGAACUUUCUCUAAGGUAUCGAAGACUAAGUCAGGACCUACCACUGCAGCCUCACCGACUUUGAACUAACCAAUUGGAGAUCUGCAUCUCCUACCGUAGAGAGCUUUAAAUGGAGCCAUUUAAAUACUGAAAUGAUAACUGUUGUUGUAUGCAAACUCAAUCAAAGGCAAGUGGUCAUCCCAAUUACCCUUAAAGUCAAUUGUAUACACUCGCAGCGUAUCUUCUAAAGUUCGGAUGGUCCUUUCUGCUUGACCAUUGGUUUGAGGAUGAAAGGCUGUACUGAGGUGAACUCGGGUACCAAGACCCUUUUGGAAUACUUUCCAAAAAUGAGAGGUGAACUGGGUACCUCUAUCUAAGAUAAUAAACAAUGGAACACCAUGUAAUUUGAUCAACUCUCUGAUGUAGAGUUUGGCAUAAUCCUUGGCUGAAUAAGAGGUAUGAACUGGAAGGAAAUGAGCUGAUUUGGUCAUUCUAUCUAUAAUGAUCCAAACUAAAUCAUGCUGACGACGAGUGUGAGGAAAACCCUUCACAAAGUCCAUGUUCAUUUCUUCCCACUUCCAAGUAGGAAUACUGAACUCCUGCAUGGACCCACUAGGCUUCUGAUGCUCGAUCUUAACCUGCUGACAUGUUGAGUACUUAGCCACAAACUCUACAAUAUCUCUCUUUAUCCCACUCUACCAUUAGAUCUCCCACAAGUCACGGUACAUCUUGGUGCCCCCUGGAUGAAUAGAUUAAUGCGCACCAUACGCUUCUGUGAGAAUUCACUGCCUUAAGUCAUUAACACUUGGCAUACACAGACGACCCUGACAAUGGAAAAUACCAUCUCCCCAUUUGGAUAAAACCUCUACCUUUUGAUCUUUGACUAAUUCCUUCAACUUGACAAAACUGGGAUCUCUAUCCUGCUUUUUCUUUACCUUGGAAACUAGAGAUGAUUCUGAACUGUUCUGAACCCACACACUACCUUCUGCUAAAUCGACUAAGCGGACACCUAGUCUGUCUAACUGAUGAACUUCCUGGGCUAACUUCUUCUUACUGUCAUUAACAUGAGCAACACUACCUAUAGACAGUCUACUGAGAGCAUCAACCACUAUAUUGGCCUUGCCCGAAUGAUAAAGUAUACUCAUGUCAUAAUCCUUCAAGAGCUCUAACCACCUUCUCUGACGGAGAUUAAUAUCUUUUUAUGAGAAUAUAUACUGAAGGAUUUUGUGAUCUAUGAACAAAUCUACAUACAACCCAUACAUGUAGUGCCUCCAAAUCUUUAAGGCAAAUACUACUGCUACUAACUCAAGAUCAUGAGUCAGAUAAUUCUUCUCAUGGGGCUUAAGCUGUUUGGAGGCGUAGGAUAUGGCCUUACCAUACUGCAUGAGGACAUAAUACAAACCUGCCCUGGAUGUAUCACAGUACAUGACACGCCUAUCUGGACCAUCUAGAAGAGUCAAAACUGGAGCUGAGGUGAGUCAAGUCUUCAACUCCUGAAAACUCUUCUCGCAUGAAUCUGACUAUUGGAACUUGACUUUUUUCUGAGUCAAUCUGGACAUAGGGGAUGCAAUAGAUGAAAAUCCUUUAAUAAAUCAUCUGUAAUAGCCAGCCAAACCUGAGAAACUCCUGAUAUCUAAUGGAGUGAUGAGUCUAGGCCAGUUUCUCACUUCCUCAGUCUUUUGAGAAUAAACUCUAAUGCCAUCAUCGAAAAUGAUAUGACCAAGGAAUUCUACUAACCUUAGCCAAAAUUCGUACUUACUAAAUUUGGAGGAUAACUGAUGUUUUCUAAGAGUCUGCAAUACUAUUUUGAGAUGGUCUGCAUGAUCAUGCUCACUGCAGAAAUAGACAAGAAUGUCAUCUAUGAAGACUAUGAUGAACAUGUCCUAGUACUGCUUGAACACACAGUUCAUCAAGUCCAUGAAAGUUACUGGACCAUUGGUAAGACCAAAUGACAUGACUAAGAAUUCAAAGUGACCAUACCGAGUACAGAAGGUUGUUUUUAGAAUAUUACAUUCUCUGACUCUGAGCUGAUGAUAGCCUGAUCUGAGGUCUAUAUUAGAGAAGUAACUCGCACCCUGAAGUUGGUCAAAUAACUCAUCGAUUUUGGGAAGUGGAUACUUGUUCUUGACUAUGACCUUAUUAAGUUGACGGUAUUCUAUAUACAUUCUGAGAGAAUCAUCUUUCUUGUGCACAAAUAGAACUGGUACACCCUAUGGGGACAUACUACGUUUGAUGAAUCCCUUAUCUAGGAGAUCCUUCUACUGCUCUUUCAAUUCUCUAAGUUCUGCUGGUGCCAUUUUGUAUGGCGGAAUAAAUAUGGGUUGAGUAUCUAGGAAAAGGUUAAUGCCGAAGUCUAUUUUCUUUCAGGAGGAAUUUUGGGAAGAUCUUUGGGAAAUACAUCUAAGAAUUAUUCACAACUGGAACUGAUUCAAGACUGGGAGUUUUGGAACAAGAGUGUCUGAAUCGCGCAAGAUGAUAGAUACAUCCCUUAGAUAUCAUUUUCCUAGCCUGUAGAUAGGAAAUAAGAUGACCCCUGAAUACUGAAGUACUACCCUUCUACUCUAGGACGGGUUUAUUCAAAAACUGAAAUUGGACAAUUCUAUUUCUGCAGUCUACUGUGGCAUAGCUGGAAUGAAGCCAAUCCAUGCCGAGAAUGACAUCAAAAUCAGUCAUCUCUAAUUCGACUAAGUCUGCUGAAGUGACUUUCUGAGAUACCAUAACCGGAUAGUUCCUGUAUACCCACUGAGAUAUGAUAGUUUUACCCACUGGGUUAGAGACUGAAAAGGGCUCUGCUAGAAUUUUAGGAUUGACUCCAAAAUCAACUACUAUAUAAGGAGUAACAAAAGACAAGAAAACUCCUAGAUCUAGAAAAGCAUAAAUAUGUAUAUGAGAGAUCUGUAACGUACCAGUGACCAUAUCAGGAGAAUUCUCCUGGUCUUAUCAAGACUAAAGAGCAUAAAGUCUAUUUGGGCGUUUCCCACUAGUGGCGCUGGAAGUGGCACCCUGCUGAUUUGAAUGACCGAACUGAGGUGAGGAAUGGUUAGGCUGACCCUAAAAAUCAAACUGAGGACAAUCUCUGAAUUUAUGGUUUGGCUUGCCACAUCCAAAGCAAACAUAACUUCCAGCUCUGCAAAUACCCUGAUGGUGCUUGCCGCAAGUCUGGCAAAGAGGAUAAGUUCGGGCACUGCUAAUACUACUCUGAGACUUAGAGCCUGGCGCCCUAUCUUUGUUACCAUUCCUGAAAUUAGAAACUAGAGCAUUGGAUGGGGAAGGAGCUGGAACUAAGGACUUUGGGUGGAACUGGGAACGAUUCUCGCCCUCUCACUUAGGCUGACUGAAAUUGAAGCUACCUGUUCUAGCUCUCUUAUUCUGCUUUUCUCUCUCCUUAUUCUUCUGCUCUUCUAUCUUCUGAGCAUGGAUUAUGAUCCUAGCCAAGUCUAUCUCACUAAUCAACAUCACCGUCCUGUACUCCUUGACCAUACUAUCAUUUACUCUAGACACAAACUUACUCAUCUUAACUCUACAAUCUGCCACUACACGAGGAGCGUAUCUAGCUAGUUGAGUAAACUUGAGAGAAUACUCUUUCACUGUCAUGUUUCCCUGCUCGAGGUUAAUAAAUUCUAAUACCUUAUCUUCUCUCAGCUCUAAGGGAAAGAAUCUAUCUAGAAAAGUGAUGGCAAACUCCUCCCACUCAAUAGACCCUGCAUCUGCGGCCCUCUAUGCUUUUCAUUGCUUGAACUAUGUGUGAGCCAUAUCCUAUAACUGAUAUGCAUCUAGCUCAACACUCUCACUAGAAGUUACCCCCAUGAUAUCUGUAACCUUCUGCACUUAAUCAAGGAAUUUCUGAGGGUCCUCAUCUAUCUUAGACCUAGAAAAAGAAGGAAGAUUCAUUCGGGUGAAGCCCCGAAUCCUAGCUGCAGCAGAAUUGGCCACUGGGUUGGCCGAAACAACAAUUGAAUAUUCGUUCUGGGCAGCAAUUGAAUGAUCAAGAGUAGUGAAUGCAGCUCUGAAUUCUGCAUGGGAGACAUGUUCACCUAAAGGAUUAGGCUGAUCGGGCUGAGGGGUUGGAUGAUCUCCUUUUUUACUUUCUUGAGUCCUCUUUGGAGGCAUUUUUCUAUAGAUGGAAGAGAAAAAAGGAUUAUACUAAGAGUUUAACUGGAGCUCAUGCUCACUCGCACGGCAUGAAUACUGAAAGAAAGGAAACUGUUCCUAAAAUAUCUCAUAGCCUCCUGCACAUAAAUGUGGCGCGCUACACACCUAUAUAUAAGACUCUAUAAGAUGCGACUUUCAGACUUCCUAGGACACUGUUGAACCUUAGGCUCUGAUACCAAGUUUGUACUGCCCCAAGUCUGGUACCCCGGGUGCUAUACGGUGCUAACAAUCCCGAAGGACCACUAGCUAACCCAUGACUGAUAUCUAUAACUGAGCACUGGAUAAUACUAAUAUUAUAAUAAUUACAUAACUAAAAUAAAUGUGAAAAUCUAGCAAAAAACUUGCCAUAAGGUUCAAAUACUAAACAAUACUGAAUAAAACAACGCUUGAACAAGGUGUGAUAAUACCAAGACUGAAAUAACUGUUUGAUCAUGCUAUAGUCUGAAAGCCUCUAAACUAUCUGAACCGUGGAGUUGAUAGGACAUGUCCCCAACUAACUCCAUCUACUGAAAAUAACUAAGUACUGAAAGAAUGAAAUAAUCAUGUCCUCAAAAUAUGAGGACUCACCACAGACUAUAAGAAUUUACUGGUAUGCAAAGUGAGGUAAGGCUGAAUGUAAGGGUUCAUAUGCAUAAACUAAACUGACUGAAUAACAUGAACAUGACUACGUGAGGAUACAUGCAUAAAUACAUAACUGUAACUGAAAUCAUAAGGAUUUUGAAUAUCGAGUUUACUGAUAACAUGGAUUACUGAUAACUGAUAUAACUAAUAACUGAGUGACUGUGUCUGACAGUCCUGAUUCUAAUGAAACUAGCUAAGUUUCGUACUAAGCUGAUUAACUGUAUUUGACAGUCCUGAAAUCUGUAGAACUAUCUAAAUUCUUUACUAAAGACUGAGGCUGAGACUAUAGGAGGUAGUUAUCUAACUGACAUGCCCUAAAUAAGAUAAUAUAGUUGAGUUGGGGUCCAAUCUGUAUCUCUAAUUGGAAGGGUGUCAAUAUUGUACCACUGGUAAGGAAAAGCUGUGAGUGACCCUCAUCUAUCAUGUACUCUAAUGAGAAUAGUGAGACCCUCAUUUGACAGGUUAAUCCAGCUCAUCAACCCUCAUCUGAUAGGUUUUGAUAUCUCAACCUAUGCUGGCUACAUAGUUCUGGAACGCAAGGACUGCUUCUAAGAAUCACACUCUUUGUUGGCAGGUGAGUUCCCAUCCUUGGGUUCACUCGGUGCUGAAUCCUACUCCCAUCUGAAUAGACACUGAACUGAGUAUACUGGAUUGAACUUGACUGAUAGAAUAUUACUAGAUUCUGAUAACUGACUGAUCUACUGAGGACUGAAGUAAAUACUACUGAGUUUUUCCUGAGUUUUGAGAUUGACUGAAUUCUACUGAUCGUGGCUUGACUGAGAUUAUCUUGAAAACUGACAGUGGCUCUAGGUACACCACUAAAUUAUCGGGUAUUAAAUACCCCCAAGACUCGAUAGCAUGAAAAUAAAUAAGACAUAACACUACUUGAACACAUGACCAUAGUCAACAAUUCAUAAUACUAUCAUUGAGGGAUUUCAUGAAGCAUUCACAAGUCAUAAGCUUACACAUGAAUGGGAAUACAUGCUAAUGUAAUAUAAUUUCACAAGUCCAUACUUAUGAGCGUUCCACCAAAUCAUUACAAGACAUAUCUAUAGAAUGAGAGUCAAUUUGAACUUGUGGAUACAUCAUAAGUUCAUCAUAUAGCUCACAAAUAGGUCAUAAUGCACAAUUCUUAUUCACUUAGGCAUUUUAACAAACACAUGGAAGGCAUAACCUUUUCUAAGGCAUGAAUCAACAACUAAUACAUCAUGGCCACAUCAAGCACUUUCAAUUUAAGGAUUUCAAUCCACAUACUGACAUGAAGUCAUGAGAAUUCAAUAAAGAUUCAAUCUUAGAAAUCAUAUCAUAACAUAAACAUGUGUACAAUCAAACCCCACAACAUGGAAUUCAAAAUUCAUAUUCUGAAAAGGGUUUCUUGAGCUCCAAGGGUGAAAGGGACCUUUGGAUGAACAUUUUACAUACCUUAGUUGACAAUUUCUUGAAGCUUGAUGGAAGAAAACUUUAGUUCUUGAAUUGAAAUUAAUCACCUAGGGUUUCUUGUUCUUGAGCACUUGUGAAAUAAUGAAUGUAUUUACCCAAAAGAGGGCUAAAUUUCGUGUUAUGAGGGUUGAAGGAUGUGGGAUAACGACCUAAUUAUCCUUAUGAACACGGUUAUUUAAUGACUAAAAAUGGGCAUUAACGCGUUUGGCGACGCGGUGCAUCGAUGGCAUCGAGGCGGUACUCGACGCAUCGUGCCAUGAUCGCGCUAUGUCUCAGUACUUUUGACUGGUAACCUGGAACAAUAUUAACUAACGCAAUGGGCCAUGUGGUGCGCUAAGAUUGCAUUGGUCUACUAUUUUGGGACUCCAAACGUGGUCUAAACGAAGUCCAAAAAAUCCAAAAUUUAUUCGAGAACACCUAUUGACCUUCCUGAUCAAGAAUUAACAAAAAUAUAGACCAUUAAAGGACAUUAAGGUCACGAAAUGAGAUUUCCAACUUUCGAAGGCUAAAAAUAAACUAAGUUUGGAAACUUAGCUAUAAUUUUCUAAGUUUGGGAUCCCUUGAUAAGCUUAAAGGACUGAAUUAAGCUAGAAAUUUCGUGGGGUCUUACAGGCUGGAUUUUUUAGAUUCUAAUAUAAAAAAAGGGCAUAUGGCUAGCGUAUAAUCCCCUUUUUCAGGGCACAACCCCUCUUUUAAUGCAAAUUAAAUCUCAUAUCGACAAAACACGAUUUUGAGCAAUGUGUUAUCUGAACUUAUGCCUUCUUUAGAUAACCAUCUAUCUUUCUUAGAGCCCAUUUUAUAGCAUUUUAAAUCAUUCAUCUUUCUCAAAACCUAGUUUGAAGUUUGAAAGGUUUGUGGUCUUGUCUGGUCUGCGUAUGUUAUAGAAUUUGUCUGAUUUGAUAUCGUCAUGCCACGACUUACAAGUCAUAUAAGCCAUAUCAUAUCAUAUCUUAGUCUCUUCAAUCAAAAAAUAUGUUAUUGGACCACCAAAAUAUUUAACCAUUAUAAGUGAGUUCUUAUUUUAAAACAUGUAAAACUCAUACAAGAUACUUCCUUUGUAGUACCUUAACAUAGGGUGGUCAUCUCUAUCAUCAAAUACAUGCAAUUUCUCAUUCAGACACAAAGCGUUUACAAAUUGACAAAACACCCACCCAUAGAAUCAUAAAGCAAUGCAAAUCAAUAAUUAAUAAUUUAAUAUUUAAUUCAAGUUGUUUAAUCAUGCAAUUAACAAUCCACAACAUAUUAAGACAAUGAAUUUCACAAUAAGAGAGGAAAUUUUGUAAGGUAUGCUCUCAUAUCAAUUUUCAAAACUCAUAAUCCAUGUACAAAUGAAAAUGAUUCAAAAAGAAUAGGAAGGCAAAAUACGAGUUCUAAGAAUCAAAACAAAGUAGCUAUAUAAGUUCUAGUAGAAUACUCUUUGUAAGCUUGUAUAAUUAAGUCCUUAUUAGGACUCUUACAUUAUUAUUAUCAACAUAUAUAAUCAUUAUCUUUACGAUCUUAUCUAUUACUGUUAAGAUUUACAAUUGUGGCAUGAUGCCUUUGUUAUUUCAGUUCCUACAAAUUUUUGCAAAUUAUAGAGUAGGUAGCUAGAGUUCAUAAGAAUAUUUUAUUUUUUCACUUGAAUGUUAAAAACGAGCCUAUUGGAUCACUUGCCUAUGGUUUGUCUUUAUCUAUUAUUUCUCUAAAACCUCAAAUAAUAUAAUCUAUAGUAUUACUCUAAUUUUUUUAGUCAGAAUAUUACUUUAUUUCCUGUUGUACAAUUAUGUAACUACACCAGUUUGCUUCUUUUUUUAAAAGAAAAAUAAGAAGAAGAAGAGGAAGAAGAGGAGGAUAAAGAAGAAGAAGAAGAAGAAGAAGAAUGGGGCUAGGAUCUCUAGGUCUAUUAUGAAAUCACACUAAAAAUAUGUAACAAAAUAGACAAAGAAUCAUUUAAAAAAGACAUAAAAACUUAAAAUAGGGUUUGCAUCAACAAUUUUUGUCAAUUCUUUCAAACAAUUUAUUUGUUUGAUAAAUCACCACAUACAUUUUCAAAUUUGGUCUUCUCUUUUAUAGUCUAGUGGCUAAUUAAUCUCGAUGAAACUUGUAUGUAUUGUUAGGAGUAAUACUUCAUUAGGAACAGUGAGUUGAUUAACACUUUAAAAUUUGUAACAUUUGCAAAACAACAAGCAAAUAUUACAAAGGGUUAUGUUUGACCGACUCUUCUUAUAGAAAAGGAUAAAUUUGAAGAUGGUCAAUGUAGCAAAAUCCAAAGGAAGUUCCUAUGCACUAAGAUAUGUGUAUUUGACAAUAUUCCUAAUGAUGCUGGAACUAUUUUUGUUCACAAUGCUAAAACUCUCAUAGCAAAAUUGCUUGAAGAAGAGAUUCCCAGGGCAUAAUUAAGUUUGAUUAUGCAUUAAGUGUCACAUGCACAAAAUUAAAUAAAGUGUUGUCUUUGUUAAAAGAGUAACUUAUAAUGUUGUGUUAUUGACCAAUAGUAGCCAUUUGACGCAUUAAAUAAGUUGUGAUACAUCAAUCCUUUAUGUAUCUUGUAUUAAGUUUGUAUCUUGUAUUAAGUUUGUGUGUGUUUUAAUAAAAAGAAAUCAUUUACGAUCUAUAAUUAUGAAAUGCGUUCAUCUGAUCAAUUUUUGUCAUGAUUCAUUACAACCAAAAAUCUUUAGUUUUGAAUAAAAUUUAGGGUGAUCCGAAGAAGGAGAUAAAUUUCAAACGCGACGGUGAUAGACAAAAUUUGUUCAACUAAGACCUAAUUAACUUAAGAUUACUAUUUAAACUUUGACAUUGCUGAGGAUUAAUUAAACUACUAAGAUCGAAAUUUUAUAGUAAAUUUCAAUCCCAAUUAAUUAGCAAAAGCAUGAUGAUAUAAAUAGAGGGGUAGGAACAUAAACAUAAAAGGGAUAAUACUCACGAAAAUAUCUAAACUUUGAACGAAUUUCUAGUUGAACAUACUGAACUUUGCAGGGGUCCUAUUACCUCCCUGGACUUUCUUAAAGUGGAAUUAAUUUUCCCCCAAAAUGCUAUACCCAGUUUUGGAGUAGAAAGUGUAAUACACGCGCCAAAUAUAUAAUGACACGUGUAUUUUUUUUAUUUAAUUUCUUUUCCAUUCUUAUUCUUUUUAUCAUUUUUUCACCAAAAAUCUUGAUUCUUAUUGUUUGAAAUUUGAUUGCCCCAUUCUCCAUUUUGCCCCAUUUUCUUCUUCAGCAGCAAUCAUUUCCCAUUUUGCUCCACACUUUUGUAAGUCAAAUUUGAGCUUGACAUUUCAUCAAACGUUUGGUGGGCAGUAACAGGGCAUUGUUUUUCUUCUUCAUUUUCAAUGGCAAUGACUCUUUCAGGUUUCAUGGUGAAUUACCAUGAGAAGAAAAUGAAAAAUUGAAAAUGAGGUUGUGUUGAAGAUGACCCAUUUGAAAUUUUUUUUUUCUUAAAAAAGAUUGCAACCCAGAUCAAAUUAACAAAAAGUAAACCGCACCCACUAGCCAUUUCACUCUAAAUCUCACUACACAGAACCCAAAACUCAAAACCAUUACACAUUUCUUAUUCUUAUUCAACAUCAUAAUCAAUUUUAAUCUCUAUUCUUAAUGUCCUCCACUUUAUCAUAGUUCGUCAAAAAUUACACUCACCAUCGCCUGAAUUUUUUUUUAAUUUUUGAGAAUUGUGGCUGGAAUUGUUGAGAAAACGAAGAAAAUCUUACCUUCAACAAUGGAUUAUUCGACACCAUAAUCAAUUUUAAUCUCCAUUCUUAAUGUCCUCCACUUUAUCAUAGUUCAUCAAAAAUCGCACUCACCAUCGCCUUAUUUUUUUUUUAAUUUUUGAGAAUUGUGGAUGGAAUUGUUGAGAAAACGAAAAAAAUCUUACCUUUAACAAUGAAUAUGAAACCUUCAACAAGGGAGAUGGAAAUUAGAGACGAGUAGAAGAAAGGAGGUAAGGAAUUUAAUGGAAAAUAUAUAAAAUAAAUUGAGGGGAUUUCUGACCAAAAAAAAAAAUUAUAACAAUUUUUUAUCACUAUCACGCACCAAAUGCGAGUGAAUUACAUGAACUUGUUUAAGUGGGCAGAUAUAUGCCAUUAAAAUAUGAAAAAAAGAAGUCUAGGGGGGUAAUAGGACCCCCACAAAGUUUAAUAUGCUCAAUUGAAAAUCCGGUCAAACUUCAGGUAUUUUGUGAGUAUUAUCCCAUAAAAAUAGUUUUAUUUUCACACUUAAUAUAGUUUGAUAAUCUUCUUCAUGGUAUCAGAGUUUUAGCUCUAACAUAUAUCUCGAAAACUAUUUUAUGUUCUUUAAAGACCAAUUCUCCUUUCUCAACUCUACCCCUUUCACCAUGAUCUCUUCAUUUCAUAGUUGUAUAUUCCAUAAAAUUGAAAUCAUUGAACUAAUAAAAUUGAAAUCAUUGAACUAACUUGUUUGAGAACCUAAAAGAUAGGUGAUAAAUGAAAAGAAUGAUGAAAAUAAACUGUGAUUGAUAAAAUGGGAAGAAAUUUUUUUUGAAUGACAUUAUUAAGUUAGGACCAUUUGGAUGACACUAAAAAUUUAAUUUAUUUGGAAAAAAGGAUACAUUUUUGUAUUCCUUUAAUGACAUUAAAAUGUUAUGAUAUAUUUAUGAUCACAAGUUUUAAAGAUUAUGCAACAACAUGAAUGUUAUGGUAUAGUCACUUUAUUUCGUUUUACUUGAGAUUCAAGUUACUUGUUCAUUUAGUUUAAUUACUAUAUUUUUUUGUAGUACCCUACAUAUUAAAUAACUACAUAGUAAUAGUAGUCAAAUUUAGAAUUUCAAACCAUUAUGUAUAAGGUAAAUUUAGUAAAGUAUACCUCUAGUUAAAGUUUUCUUAAAGAAUUGUAAAGUCAACAGGUAAACAAAUAUGAAACAGAGAGACAUAGAGAGUAUAUAAUCACAAAUUUCAAAAGUCUUGAUUUCUAAUCAAAUUAUGAUUUCAUAUUGUACCGCCAAACAAGCCUUAAAUUUUCUGUCAAGUAAAAUAAUGUUAAAUAAGGUGAGACAUAAGGGUGCAACAAGUAAUAUGGUUCACCAACAUAAGUUGUGAUAAAUGAUUGGAAUCCCCCAUUCUUAAGUAAAGAUUUUGAUUUAGAUCUCCGAAAAUAAAAAUAAUCUAUUGAGAGCUUGUCUAAAAAAUGAGUUCAAAAUUAAAUAUCAGACAUUAAGAAAAUCCAAAAAUAAAUUAAAUUAUCGAAUAAACUUUUAUUACCUGGAUUAUCAUAUCCUCCCCUUUCUUCUCCUCCUCGUAAUUUAAAUUCUAAGUACUACUAGCACGUGAUUCUGUCAUUUGCGUUUUUUAAUCUUGAAUGUUAAAAUCAUUAUUUAAUGUACUAAAAGAACAUUUAAAUUCUAAGUACUACUAACUCAUUUGCGUUUUUUAAUCUUGAAUGUUAAAAUCAUUAUUUAAUGUAUUAAAAGAAAAUUUAAAUUCGAAGUACUACUAGCGUGUGAUUCUGUCAUUUGCGUCUUUUAAUCUUGACUAUUAAAAUCAUUAUUUAAUGUACUAAAAGAAAAUUUAAAUUCUAAAGUACUACUAGCGUGUGAUUCUGUCAUUUGGUAAUAGAUAAAGGUUAAAACAUUUGGGUCCGUCCAUUUGAAUAAUUAUGAAGAAAGCAUGGAUGAUGUUAAAGUUAAACACAUGUUUUUUUUAAUUUCAUUUGGCGUCUUUUGAUCAUUUAAUGAGUACUUUCCAUAUUUUAUUCUUCUAUGUGAUGUGUGGGAAAUUUUUCCACAUUUAUUGACCCCACUAAAUACUUUCUUUUUUGGUUUUACUCUUAUUUCAGUGCCUAUAAAUAAAUACCUCCAUUGUGCUAGUGUUCAUUCACAACUCAAAAUUGCAAUCUUUCUUAUUAUUAAAAAAAUAUUUGCAAUCUUUUUUAUUAAUCAAAGACUAUGGCACGUUCCAUUUACUUCAUGGCAUUUCUUGUCUUGGCAGUGACACUCUUUGUUGCUAAUGGUUUGUCUUCACCUUUAAUUUUCUAAAGCCUCAAAUAAUAUAAUGUAUUUUUUUAUUCUCUAGGUCUAUUAUGAAAUCUUUAUAAAAACAUGUAAUUAAAUAGACAAAAAACAUUUAAAAAAGACACGAGACUAAAAUAGUGUUUGGUCUGGUUGGAAUUAAAUUACUAUAACGUUACAAAGUUAUAUAAUUGCUGAUUCUUUCAAACAAUUUAUUUGUUUGAUAAAUCACCACGUACAUUUUCAGACGUGGUCUUCUCUUCUAUAGUCUAGUGGCUAAUUAAUCUUGAUGAAACUUAUAUGUGUAUUAUUCGAAGUAAUAUUUCUUUAGGAACAGUGAGUUGAUUCAUACUUUAAAAUUGUUUCUAUAUAUUUCAUUCGAUUAUGUGUCUUUCUUUUCUAACAUUUGUAACAACUUAUGAUUGAUUGUAGGGGUGCAAGGUCAAAAUAACAUUUGCAAAACAACAAGCAAACAUUUUAAAGGAUUAUGUUUUGCCGACUCUAAAUGUAGAAAAGUUUGUAUCCAGGAGGAUAAAUUUGAAGAUGGUCAUUGUAGCAAACUCCAAAGGAAGUGCCUAUGCACUAAGAAUUGUGUAUUUGACAAUAUUCCUAAUGAUGUUGGAACUAUUUUGGUUGAGGAUGCUAAAACUCUCGAAGCACAAUUGCUUGAAGAAGUGAUUCUCGGGCUGUAAUUAAGUCUGAUUAUGGAUUUAGUGUCCCACAAAAUUAAAUAAUGUGUUGCCUUUCUUAAAAGAGUAACUUACAAUACUGUGUUCUUGGCCUAUAGUAGCCAUUUGACACAUUAAAUAAGUUGUGACACAUAAAUCCUAUAUGUAUCUUGUAUAAAGUUUUAUGUGUUUUAAUGAAAAGAGACCGUCUACGGUCCGUAAGUAUGAAAUGUAUGCUUUCUCACGGUUAAUUACAAGAAAAGAUCUUUAGUUUUGAAUGAAAUAUAAGGUGAUCCAAAGUAGGUGAUAAAUUUCAAACGGAACGGCGAUAGAAAAAAUGUGUCCAAGUAAGACCUAAUUAACCUAAGAUCACUAAUUAAAUGUUGACGUUGCUAAGGAUUAAUUGGACUUGUUAUUUCAAUUCCAACAUUUUUUCACAAUUUGUAGAGUAGGUAGCUAUAGGGUUAACAAGAAUGUUUUUGUGAAAGUAAAUUGAAAUUGACGGAUAAGCUCUUUUGAAAAACUUGAGUUUUUAGCGAUUUGCUUUCCUAUUAAAUUUAGUUUUGAAAUUUUAUGUUUUAUUAUAAGUGAGACAUGGAGAUUACUACGUUAAUUUCAUAAAAAUAUAUUUGAGGCGAAAGUUAAUUUUUAAAAAACUAGCCAAGUAUUAGAAUGGUAAAAUUUAUAUCUUUUAUAGAACUGAUUAGUCGUGUUUUAUUCGCGAAAGGAUGAGAAUAUUAACCCUUCUUAAGAAUGUUCACAAACAAAAAUCAAUAUAAAUAUGAUAAAUAACUAAUGUAAAUCAAGUGCAACAAUAAUACCAUUAAUUGGACUUUCUAAGGAACAUGACAAUAUAAUAAAGUAAAAGAGUAAGGCUAGGACUAGGAGAUACUAGACUCCUAAAGGAGUUCAAAUUUCUAUUUUUUCGUGACUCCAAGGCUCUUGCAAUCUUAGUGGCGGUUGAUCCGAUAGUUGGGUCAAAACAAAUUUCGUUAUGGAAUUCCAAAUCCCGAGUUUACAUGUAAAAAAAAAAUAAAAGAUAAGGAUUAGUAAAAAAAACAUGCAAAAUAUGAAGUUGAUACUCUGAACAAAUUGUACAUUUUAACUAAGUAUGAAGUUGAUACUCUGAACAAAUUAUGCAGAAAAAAUAAGGACAUGACUAAACACCAAAAAGAAGCAUCUAAAUAUCAAUAUCAAAGUGUGGUAAAACGUUUCUACUUGUAAUCAAACUUUUAACAAAUUCUGAAAGAAAGGAGACUAGUAAUGAGUUUACUAUACUGCUUUUAUAAAAAAUCAAACUCUAAGAAAUACAACACGUCCAGAAAUGGCUACUUGGAAUUGUAAUUUGAUGUCACGGGCACAAAAUCACUUUUUCUUUAUAUUUUGAAAAAAAAAAUCAGUUAUAUCCAAACUUUAGUACAAACAAAAUUCAGCACAAUUCCAUUAAUAUUUCAUGACAAAGAGAAUUAUAAAAAAAAAGGGAACCAGGUCUCGAGCUCGGAACGAGAAUAUAAAUAAGAGUUUCUCAAAACAAACACAAAACCAAAACAUAAUCCGAAAAUCAAACCAAAGCUGAAUACAUAAUUCUUGCAUGAGAACAAAUGCAAAGAGACAUAUUUCAGAUUUCGGAUCAAGUGAUAUAACUUAUUUUGACAACUUGAGAAUUGCUCAUUAUCUUUACGGUCUUCUAACACUUUCAAGCCCCUUGUUGAGCCAAUCGUCAUUUGGGUUCGAAUUCCAAAUAAUCUAUUACUUUAUUGUGUAUUGUGUUCAUCUGAUGACUUUUGUCACAAUUUUUUUGUUCAAUAAUCCCACAUGUAUACUUUCUCUUUUGAACAAAAGAAAAAGACCAUUAAAAUAAUAUCUUAAAGUAAAUUCUUUUAACAUAUAUGGUAGGCGUACAUAUAGAUAGACUUUACACUAACAAGAUUUUGUUAUGGGUUGUGCCUUAUUUUUGUCACGACUCGAGAUGAGAUCCUGACCGUGAUGGACAUCCCGAACCAUCAAGGUCCGAGAGACUCCUUAGCACACUAUCAUAAGCAUAAUUCAUAUGAAAUAAAAGUGCAGAAGAUAAGCUGGAAAUAUAGUGGUGCCAUAAUCAUUAUUAAAACUUUUCUACAUCAACUCAUAAGAAGACCCAAAUCCAUCUGAGACAAUCUACGAAGUCUCUACUGAACUGAACAUACUAGUCUAUCUAAACCGGAAAAAGGCCCCGACUGGAUCAUAAAACUAAAAAAGGGAACAACACGUGGAAAAGAUGCCUUCCGAAGUAAGGAAGGCUCACCAACUCUGAAAUCCUGAAAAUAAUCUACUGAUUUACGGGACCACGGGACUGUGCCCCAGAACCUGAAAUAUAGGAGGUCAAUACUCGAAAGUACUGGUAUGUAAAACAAUCCAAAAAUAACACAUACUUCAUGUAAAAUAAGUGAGAGCAUUAUGAAAAUAAUUUAUCAUAAUAUAUAUAGAAACACAUGGGCAAAAUCAAUGAGCUUCAAAACAUUCCUAUAAGUCAUGAAUCAACUCUUUGUUUUACUUCUGAGCUAGAUGGUAUACCCUACAAUUCUAAAAUUCCACGAGUUAUUUGGAGUCCUCUCUUGACUCGGCGGCCGAACCCCCAACCCAAGUUUGCCGCAAGGGUUGGAGUUUUUUGAUUCUGAUAUUAAAAAAAGGGCACAUGGCCAACAUAUAAUCCCCUCUUUCAGGGCACAUUAGAUCUCGUAUCGACAAAACACGACUUUGGAAAAUGUGUUAUUUGAACUCAUGCCUUCUUCAGGUAACCAUCUAACUUUCUUAGAACCCAUUUUUUAGCGUUUUAAAACAUUCAUCUUUCUCAAAACCUAGUCUGAAGUCUGAAAGGUUUGUGGUCUCAUCAGGUCUGAGUCUGUUAUGGCAUUUGUCUGAUUUGGUAUCGCCACACCACGACUUACAAGUCGUAUAAGUCAUAUCAUAUCAUAUCAUAUCAUAUCAUAUCAUAUCAUAUCAUAUCAUAUCAUAUCAUAUCAUAUCAUAUGAUAUCAUAUCAUAGUCUCUUCAAUCGAAAAGCAUAUUAUUGGACCACUAAAACAUUUAACCAUUAUAAGUGAGUUCUUAUUUUAAAACAUGUAAAACUCAUGCAAGAUACUUCUUUUGUAGUACCUCAACAUAGGGUGGUCAUCUCUAUCAUCAAACACAUGCAAUUUCUUAUUAGAACACAAAGCAUUUACAAAUUGAUAAAACACCCUCCCAUAGAAUCAUAAAGCAAUGCAAAUCAACAAUUAAUAAUGUAACAUUUAAUUCAGGUUGUUUAAUCAUGCAAUUUAACAAUCCACAACAUUUUAAGACAAUGGAUUUCACAAUAAGAGAGAAAAUUUCGUAAGGUAUGCUCUCAUAUAAAUUUUCAAAACUCAUAACCCAUGUACAAAUGAGAAUGAUUCAAGAAGAAUAGAUAGGCCAAAUGGGAGUUCUAAGAAUCGAAACAAAGUAGCUAUACAAGUUCUAGUAGAAUACUCCUUGUAAGCUUGUAUAAUUGAGUCCUUAUUAGGACUCUUACAUUAUCAUUAUCAACAUCUAUAAUCAUUAUCUUUAGAUCUUAUCUAUCAUUGUUAAGAUUAACAAUUAUGACAUGAUGCCCUUGUUAUUUCAGUUCCUACAAUUUUUCGCAAAUUAUAGAGUAGGUAACUAGGGUUAAUAUGAAUGUUUUGUUUUUUUUUCACUUGAAUGUUAUAAACGUGCCUAUUGGAUCACUUGCCUAUGGUUUGUAUUCAUCUAUUAUUCCUCUAAAACCUCAAAUAAUAUAAUCUCUAGUAUUACUCUAAUUUUUUUAGUCAGAAUAUUACUUUAUUUCCUGUUGUACAAUUAUUUAAUUACAUCCGUUUGUUUUUUUUAAAAGAAGAAGAAGAGAAGAAUGGGGCUAGGAUCUCUAGGUCUAUUAUGAAAUCACACUAAAAACAUGUGACAAAAUAGACAACGAACCAUUUAAGAAAGACAUAAAGACUUAAAAUAGGGUUUGCAUUAACAAUUUUUGUUAAUUCUUUCAAACAGUUUAUUUGUUUGAUAAAUCACCACAUACAUUUUCAAAUGUAGUCUUCUCUUUUAUAGUCUAGUGGCUAAUUAAUCUUGAUGAAACUUAUAUGUAUUGUUAGAAGUAAUACUUCUUUAGGAACAGUGAGUUGAUUCACAUUUUAAAGUUUGUAGCAUUUGCACAACAACAAGCAAAUAUUACAAAGGGUUAUGUUUGAUCGACUCUUCAUGUAGAAAAGUUUGUAUCGAGUAGGAUAAAUUUGAAGAUGGUCGUUGUAGCAAAAUCCAAAGGAAGUUCCUAUGCACUAAGAUAUGUGUAUUUGACAAUAUUCCUAAUGAUGUUGGAACUAUUUUGGUUCACGAUGCUAAAACUCUCG
rnacentral:lncRNA from 1 species